rnacentral:rRNA from 1 species
CUUGGUCAUUUAGAGGAAGUAAAAGUCGUAACAAGGUUUCCGUAGGUGAACCUGCGGAAGGAUCAUUAUCGUUGGGGCUUCGGCCCCGUCGAGAUAGUACCCUUGCCAUUUAUUAGCGUACCUGUUCGUUUCCUCGGUGGGCUCGCCCGCCAAUGGGGACCAAAACUUAACUCUUGUAUCAUUGUCAUUUAGUCUGAAUAAAAAUUAAAAAUUAAAACUUUCAACAACGGAUCUCUUGGUUCUGGCAUCGAUGAAGAACGCAGCGAAAUGCGAUAAGUAGUGUGAAUUGCAGAAUUCAGUGAAUCAUCGAAUCUUUGAACGCACAUUGCGCCCUUUGGUAUUCCUUAGGGCAUGCCUGUUCGAGCGUCAUUUACACCUUCAAGCUCUGCUUGGUGUUGGGCGUCUGUCCUGCCCCUCGGGGCGUGGACUCGCCUUAAAUCUAUUGGCGGCCGGUACCGUGGCUUUGAGCGCAGCACAUCAGCGACCUCAUCGCCGGAGCGUAUCGACUCCCAGAAGCCCAUUUUCUAUGUUUUGACCUCGGAUCAGGUAGGGAUACCCGCUGAACUUAAGCAUAUCAAUAAGCGGAGGA